AAUAAACCAAUUUUUUAUUUUUUACCUUCAAUUUUUGAUUCUUCAUCUUAUUCAAUUUUUUGCGAUUGAUUUUUUUAUUAGAUGAUAAAUCAUGAAUAGUACUUUACGUGUGACUAAUUUUUUUCUAAUUUUCUGAAAAUUUUUCAAAUAAGACGGUUGGUCAAACAUUGGACACGGAAACCAGAGAAUUCGUUUUUU
rnacentral:pre_miRNA from 1 species